ACAGUGUCUCUCAAAACAGACACCCAGAAGACAUGGCCAAGGUGCACAUCGACAUAAGGAAACUCCUCCAGUUGCUUGCUGGACAGCAAGUGGCUCCCACCAAGGCGGUGUGCAGUGAGUUUGUUCGCCACUACUCAGCUCCUGUGUGAUAUGCACACAGUCCUACAUGGGCAAGCAUGCCUAGUUCUGGGCACUCGAGCUCCCUGGGACAGUCAGGCUUGAAAGUUUCCUCCAGCCGGAGGUGUCUGGAGAUGCUGAAGAAGACUGAUGCCGAGCGGUGUAGAGCCAGAAAGCUGGUAGCCAUGCUAGACUGGCUGUGGCUGCAGCUGCAGCUGCUGAU
rnacentral:lncRNA from 1 species